UGAAGGAGUACUGAUUGCCCUUGCCCUCGGGCAUCAGGAACAGAUAAUAGAUCACCAUUUGUGUGGAUAAUGUGGCUUCUAGCACACCCAAGAUGUGGGUGAGCUUACUUUGGAAACUGCUGGAAAUUAGGGAGAUCCAAUACCCCAGCGCCAAAACAGACCAAAGCUCGGUCUGGUGGUUACUGGUUGGGCGGGGUUGGCCAGUCGCUGCUCUCAAACUCUGUGGCACUGAAAAAGAAUAAAAGAAAAUUAGGUUCGGGCCCAUGUCUGUGGAACUGAAAAUCGGGUUUGUGAAGGAGGAGUACUCCGACUCAUGUCCCUCAACCUGGCUGACGGCUUCGCUCA